CCUACGGGGGGCAGCAGUGGGGAAUAUUGGACAAUGGGGGGAACCCUGAUCCAGCCAUGCCGCGUGUGUGAAGAAGGCCCUCGGGUUGUAAAGCACUUUCAGUGAGGAAGAACGCCUGGUGGUGAAUACCCAGCAGGAAAGACAUCACUCACAGAAGAAGCACCGGCUAACUCCGUGCCAGCAGCCGCGGUAAUACGGAGGGUGCGAGCGUUAAUCGGAAUUACUGGGCGUAAAGCGCGCGUAGGUGGCUUGAUAAGCCGGUUGUGAAAGCCCCGGGCUCAACCUGGGAACGGCAUCCGGAACUGUCAAGCUAGAGUGCAGGCGAGGAAGGUAGAAUUCCCGGUGUAGCGGUGAAAUGCGUAGAGAUCGGGAGGAAUACCAGUGGCGAAGGCGGCCUUCUGGACUGACACUGACACUGAGGUGCGAAAGCGUGGGUAGCGAACAGGAUUAGAUACCCGGGUAGUC
rnacentral:rRNA from 1 species